rnacentral:rRNA from 1 species
UACGUAGGUGGCAAGCGUUGUCCGGAUUUACUGGGCGUAAAGGGCGUGCAGGCGGUCUGUUAAGUUCAGGGUGAAAGCUCCCGGCUCAACUGGGAGAGGUCCUUGGAUACUGGCAGACUUGAGGGAGGUAGAGGAGAGUGGAAUUCCCGGUGUAGCGGUGAAAUGCGCAGAUAUCGGGAGGAACACCGGUGGCGAAGGCGGUUCUCUGGGCCUUACCUGACGCUGAGGAGCGAAAGCGUGGGGAGCGAACAGG